GAGCUUGCUCCACCGGAAAAAGAAGAGUGGCGAACGGGUGAGUAACACGUGGGUAACCUGCCCAUCAGAAGGGGAUAACACUUGGAAACAGGUGCUAAUACCGUAUAACAAUCGAAACCGCAUGGUUUUGAUUUGAAAGGCGCUUUCGGGUGUCGCUGAUGGAUGGACCCGCGGUGCAUUAGCUAGUUGGUGAGGUAACGGCUCACCAAGGCCACGAUGCAUAGCCGACCUGAGAGGGUGAUCGGCCACAUUGGGACUGAGACACGGCCCAAACUCCUACGGGAGGCAGCAGUAGGGAAUCUUCGGCAAUGGACGAAAGUCUGACCGAGCAACGCCGCGUGAGUGAAGAAGGUUUUCGGAUCGUAAAACUCUGUUGUUAGAGAAGAACAAGGAUGAGAGUAACUGUUCAUCCCUUGACGGUAUCUAACCAGAAAGCCACGGCUAACUACGUGCCAGCAGCCGCGGUAAUACGUAGGUGGCAAGCGUUGUCCGGAUUUAUUGGGCGUAAAGCGAGCGCAGGCGGUUUCUUAAGUCUGAUGUGAAAGCCCCCGGCUCAACCGGGGAGGGUCAUUGGAAACUGGGAGACUUGAGUGCAGAAGAGGAGAGUGGAAUUCCAUGUGUAGCGGUGAAAUGCGUAGAUAUAUGGAGGAACACCAGUGGCGAAGGCGGCUCUCUGGUCUGUAACUGACGCUGAGGCUCGAAAGCGUGGGGAGCAAACAGGAUUAGAUACCCUGGUAGUCCACGCCGUAAACGAUGAGUGCUAAGUGUUGGAGGGUUUCCGCCCUUCAGUGCUGCAGCUAACGCAUUAAGCACUCCGCCUGGGGAGUACGACCGCAAGGUUGAAACUCAAAGGAAUUGACGGGGGCCCGCACAAGCGGUGGAGCAUGUGGUUUAAUUCGAAGCAACGCGAAGAACCUUACCAGGUCUUGACAUCCUUUGACCACUCUAGAGAUAGAGCUUCCCCUUCGGGGGCAAAGUGACAGGUGGUGCAUGGUUGUCGUCAGCUCGUGUCGUGAGAUGUUGGGUUAAGUCCCGCAACGAGCGCAACCCUUAUUGUUAGUUGCCAUCAUUUAGUUGGGCACUCUAGCAAGACUGCCGGUGACAAACCGGAGGAAGGUGGGGAUGACGUCAAAUCAUCAUGCCCCUUAUGACCUGGGCUACACACGUGCUACAAUGGGAAGUACAACGAGUCGCGAAGUCGCGAGGCUAAGCUAAUCUCUUAAAGCUUCUCUCAGUUCGGAUUGUAGGCUGCAACUCGCCUACAUGAAGCCGGAAUCGCUAGUAAUCGCGGAUCAGCACGCCGCGGUGAAUACGUUCCCGGGCCUUGUACACACCGCCCGUCACACCACGAGAGUUUGUAACACCCGAAGUCGUAGAG
rnacentral:rRNA from 1 species